rnacentral:lncRNA from 1 species
GAUAACUCCUCCUAUCUCGCGGCCUCUUGGCUCUGGUCUUAACGUAAACUUCUUGCGGCAGAUCGCCGACGAGAAGGACUAAUUGGCGGUCGACGACGGCGGCGAUGUAGAAUCCGGAGAGGGGUUCGGGACCGGAGGCGAACUUGGCACGGGAGAGGUCCCAGAAGAUGUGGAGAUGAGCGGGGGAUCCGGGAAUGUGGAGAGUCUUGGAGCCGUGUUUCUUCCAGAAGAUGAAGGGCUUGAUGUGGAGGUGGAAAGAAAUGGCGGAGGAGUGAGGGAAUGGGUGGCGGGAUAGGGAAAGAGGAGAGUUGGUGGUGGUGCUAUUGUGUUGGUCAGUGGCUGGGAGGAGAUGGAGGUGAAGAGAGUGGGUGAGGAAGGAGCGAGACCAAGUUAGGGAGAAAACGCCGAGUUGGGUUUGGUAGAAGCAGGUGGUGAGAUUGGGCUUACCGGUGGGGGGAGGCGGUGGAGGAGGAUGAUCGGCGGAGGAAUUAGGGCGGAAGCAGGAGAGGAAGGGCGGAAGCAGGAGGGAAAAGGGGAAGAUUGGGACAUAAUAUUGCGGGUGGGAAUUGGAUGGUUGUGGAAAUUCGAAGUCGGAGCAGAGCAGAGUUGAGUUGAAGGGUAAUGUACUACUAGUCUCUCAUUUUAUUCAGAAAGCGGCCGCGAAGGAGAGAAAGGAGACGGAUAAAUAGACUACAGAGAAGAAGAAGAAGAAGAAGAAGAAGAAGAAGACGACUUUGGCAACUAGUAAGUAUCAAGUUGAUGUGGUUGGGAGGAAAAGUAAAUCAAGCGGAGAAAAUGAAGGAAAUUUCUCUUCUGUUUAAAGUUGAAUACAUACAUGAAUCUCUCUUGUAAAUUGCACUGUGUUUUUAUUUAGCAACAUGCAUUAUUUGUAAGGUUUAAGCACACUUUUUUUGUUGUCACAAUAACCGAUUCCAACUUAUAUAUCAUCGGUAGAUUUUUCAAGUUUGUUUGUCGUGUGGAAAAUAAAUAUGUUAUUUCAAUCUAUUCUUACAUAUAUGUAUAUACUAGUUGGUUGAACCGUAUAGAUUCGUAUAUAGGAUAAGCGAUAAAUAAUAAUAAUAAAAGAAAAAAAAGAUCAUGUCCACAAGAACAGGUUUAAUCCUUAACAACAUCUACAUCCAAUCUAGCAAGCUUUUCAAAUUAUAAACAGUGUUAGUAAUGAUACGGUAGAAUAUUAUAAAUGCUGAAUUUUAUUUUAAAUUAAUUUUGAACCAAAUCCUCACCGUCAAUUACAUAAUUAUAAUAUUAUAUUGAGAUAAAAUAGAACAUAACAGUUAUAUAAUAUAUAUGAUAAUAAUAAAAAGAAAAAAGAAAAAUGAAAACAAGGUAAUAAGGUGUUGGAAAAGUGGAAAUUCAAAGAUGGAUUCAAUUAAAAAAGAAAAGAAGGAGAUUAUUUGUUAAAAAGAAAAUGUGGGGCAGAAACAGUGAUGAUGUCCAGAAAAUGCGGGUUGAAUUCCAAUGAUUAGCGUGGGAACUCCUCUUUAUUUUCUGCGGCUCAUCUGUUUGUGUUGUUUGCUGAAUACCAUGUGCGCCCAUGCUUCUGCCAGCCACCACCAGCAUGCCUUUGUUUUCGCCAAUCGCUAUAUACAUCAUACACUUGCUAUUUUUAUAACUUAGUGGUCCAUUAGAGGGUCUGUAGGAGUCUUUCCAUUACAGUUUGGGCCUUCAUGACAUGUUGGUCUGCUGAGUGGGCCACUGGGCCAAGGCCCCAUCAGUUUCUAUUACCAGUCCAGUUGUAGUAGAGAGAAGAUGUUCCAUGAACCACGCUUUCAAUUGCAAGGAAAAAGUGAAGAGUAAAACGCUAUUUGUUUCCCGUAUAUAGUUUAAGCAUCAUCAGCACAGCACAACUGGCAUCCGCAAUGAAACCAUAUUAUUAUUAUUAUUAUUAUUUUGAUUUUUGAAGCUCAAUGAACAAAACAAAAGCGACUUCCCCUCCAACUAACCUUGUAGACUCUUCAUGCUCCUCUCCCCUUUUUUCACGUUCCCAUCAUGAAUUUCCCCUAGUUAGUGCUAUAUGUUUUUUCAAGACUCUCUUCAC